rnacentral:lncRNA from 1 species
GUCACCCAGAAUGUACACCACUAAGGCACACUUCCUUUUAGCUUCCUCCUCCUCGACUUCAGCUUUUUCCAGUUGUACCAUAGGUUUCCCAUCGACUAUCAUUGGGGGAAUGUAAUCGAGAGCCAUACCAUGUGUCGCAAAGCGAUUCUUCUGAAAGAGUGUUGACCAGCUCUUCUUAGGUUCUUCUGUUUUGGCUUUGGUAGGUCCUGUUUGCCCCUCCGGUGGUAAUGUUGGUUGCAUGGUGGUCUCUGUGGCAUCAGUUGCUUCUACUAUAUUUGGAGUGGUUGAUAUGCCUCCAACCUCUGGUGUCUCCUGCGCUUCCGUAAUUGUUUCUACUAGAGGUACUGGUUGCGUUAUCACUUCUUCUGGAGCUUGCUCG